rnacentral:lncRNA from 1 species
AACCAAGAGACACUGCAUCCAGAUCUAGAACUUUUUGGCCGAAGAGGAGAUGUAGGUAUAAACUUCUCUUGCUCUGUCUCCAUCCGAUGCCUUUCUGAUGCUCUCUGCCAUUCAGACAGCUUUUGUCUAUCUUCUCGCUCUUUUUUUGAUCUCUGUUUCGCUUGCUCUUGCUGGAGUUGCUUUUCCCGCUGUCUCUGCAGCUCAAAAUCAAGAAGCUGUUGUCUCUCAAGCUCCUUGAUCCUCUCAAGUUCUGCCAGCUCUUUCUUGGUCUCCCUCUCCUCUGCUUUUUGUCGCUUCCAUUUCUCAAUCUCCAGCUCUCUCUGUUUCUGUCUUUCAAGUUCUUUCUGCCUUUCAGUCUCCCACUGUCUUUCAAUCUCCAGUUGUCUCUCCAACUCUUCUUGCCUCUCAAGUUCCCUUUGCCUGUCUAGUUCUCUCUGCCUUUCCAACUGUCUCUGUCUUUCCCUCUCUUGCUCUUUCUGUUUCUCCAACUCUCGUUGUCUUUCCAAUUCUCGCUGUCUUUCUAACUCUUUUAGCCUCUCCAUCUCUCUAUGUUUUUCAAGUUCUCUCUGCUUUUGUCUUUCAAUUUCCCUUUGUCUGUCCAACUCCAGCUGUCUCUUUCUUUCUCUCUCCAUUUCCUUCCAUUUUUCAAAUUCUCUAAGCCUAAGCCUCUCUUGGUCAAGCAUUCUCUCUUUCUCUAGUUCAAACUCUUUCUGUCGUUGCCUCUCAAACUCUCUCUGCUGCUCUAGUUCUCUUUCUGCAGCCUUCAUUCGCUCAUAUUCAAUUUGUUUCUGUCGCUCCUUUUCUCGUUUCUGGCGUUCAAUUUCCCUUUGUCUUUCCAACUCCCUCUGUUUCUCCCUCUCUUGCUCUCUCUGUCUUUCCAACUCCUUUUGUCUCUCUUUCUCUUUCUGUAUCUCAAUUUCUCUCUUUUUCUCCCUUUCAAUUUUUUGUUUCUCAAUCUCCAAAUCUCUCUGUUUCUUUAUUUCUUGCUGCCUUUCCAAUUCCAUCACCUUUUCAAACUCUGCUAGUCUUUGUCUCUCUAUUUCUGUUUCCUCCCUGAAUGCUUUUUGCCGUUCUCUUUCUUGUAAUCUGUGA